rnacentral:rRNA from 1 species
AUACGUAGGUGACAAGCGUUAUCCGGAUUUACUGGGCGUAAAGGGGGUGUAGGCGGUCUUGCAAGUCAGAAGUGAAAUUCCUGAGCUCAACUCGGGCGCUGCUUCUGAAACUGCAGGACUUGAGUGCUGGAGGGGAUAGCGGAAUUCCUAGUGGAGCGGUAAAAUGCGCAGAGAUUAGGAGGAACAACGGUGGCGAAGGCGGCUAUCUUGCCAGUAACUGACGUUGAGGCGCAAAAGCGUGGAGAGCAAACAGGAUUAUAUCCCCUAGUAGUCCACGCCAUAAACGAUGAAUUCUAAGUGUAGGGGGAAUCGACUCCCUCUGUGCCUCAGUUAACACAAUAAGUAUUCCGCCUGGGGAGUUCGGCCGCAAGGUUGAAACUCAAAUGAAUUGACGUGG